GGGUUUUUUAUUUUAUACUUCAAAUCUUGAAUUUAUUUUUUAUGUUUUUAAAUGUUUAUUUUUUUGAAUGUUUGAUUUAAAAAAAUAUAAAAAAUAAAAUAGAUAUUGACAUGGAUUAAACAAAGAUAUAUAUUAUUCUAUGUUGCAUAAACAAAUUGGCAAAGUGAGAGAUGGAAGAUAAAAAUAUGGU
rnacentral:rRNA from 1 species